UCAUCGAAAGAUGAAUUAAUGCUCCAUAAAACAGGGGUUCCGCACGGGAAUAUUUGUUAAAGAUUCAUCGCUGAUAGAUAGGCAUGCGUUCCAUUAGGCAGUUGGCGGGGUAACGGCCCACCAAACCGACGAUGGAUAGGGGUUCUGAGAGGAAGGUCCCCCACAUUGGUACUGAGACACGGACCAAACUCCUACGGGAGGCAGCAGUGAGGAAUAUUGGUCAAUGGCCGAGAGGCUGAACCAGCCAAGUCGCGUGAAGGAUGAAGGAUCUAUGGUUUGUAAACUUCUUUUAUACGGGAAUAAAGUGAGCCACGCG
rnacentral:rRNA from 1 species